rnacentral:rRNA from 1 species
UACGAAGGGGGCUAGCGUUGUUCGGAAUCACUGGGCGUAAAGGGCGCGUAGGCGGCUUUAUAAGUCGGGGGUGAAAGCCUGUGGCUCAACCACAGAAUUGCCUUCGAUACUGUUUGGCUUGAGACCGGAAGAGGUGAGUGGAACUGCGAGUGUAGAGGUGAAAUUCGUAGAUAUUCGCAAGAACACCAGUGGCGAAGGCGGCUCACUGGUCCGGUUCUGACGCUGAGGCGCGAAAGCGUGGGGAGCAAACAGG